rnacentral:rRNA from 1 species
CUACGGGUGGCACCAGUGAGGAAUAUUGCACAAUGGGGGGAACCCUGAUGCAGCAACGCCGCGUGGAGGAUGACGCAUUUCGGUGUGUAAACUCCUUUUAUAUGUCAAGAAAAUGACGGUAGCAUAUGAAUAAGCACCGGCUAACUCCGUGCCAGCAGGCCGCGGUAAUACGGAGGGUGCAAGCGUUACUCGGAAUCACUGGGCGUAAAGGACGCGUUGGCGGGUUGGAAAGUCAGGUGUGAAAUCCUACAGCUUAACUGUAGAACUGCACUUGAAACUUCUAAUCUAGAGUAUGGGAGGGGGAGAUGGAAUUAGUGGUGUAGGGGUAAAAUCCGUAGAUAUCACUAGGAAUACCUAAAGCGAAGGCGAUCUCCUGGAACAUUACUGACGCUAAGGCGUGAAAGCGUGGGGAGCAAACAGGAUUAGAUACCCGGGUAGUC